rnacentral:rRNA from 1 species
AAAUUGAAGAGUUUGAUCAUGGCUCAGAUUGAACGCUGGCGGCAGGCCUAACACAUGCAAGUCGAACGGUAACAGGAAGCAGCUUGCUGCUUUGCUGACGAGUGGCGGACGGGUGAGUAAUGUCUGGGAAACUGCCUGAUGGAGGGGGAUAACUACUGGAAACGGUGGCUAAUACCGCAUAACGUCGCAAGACCAAAGAGGGGGACCUUCAGGCCUCUUGCCAUCAGAUGUGCCCAGAUGGGAUUAGCUUGUUGGUGAGGUAACGGCUCACCAAGGCGACGAUCCCUAGCUGGUCUGAGAGGAUGACCAGCCACACUGGAACUGAGACACGGUCCAGACUCCUACGGGAGGCAGCAGUGGGGAAUAUUGCACAAUGGGCGCAAGCCUGAUGCAGCCAUGCCGCGUGUAUGAAGAAGGCCUUCGGGUUGUAAAGUACUUUCAGCGGGGAGGAAGGUGUUGUGGUUAAUAACCGCAGCAAUUGACGUUACCCGCAGAAGAAGCACCGGCUAACUCCGUGCCAGCAGCCGCGGUAAUACGGAGGGUGCAAGCGUUAAUCGGAA